UGGGGAAUAUUGGGCAAUGGGCGCAAGCCUGACCCAGCAAUGCCGCGUGUGUGAAGAAGGCCUGCGGGUUGUAAAGCACUUUGAGCGGGGAGGAAGGGUCUUGGGCGAACAGCCCGGGAUUUUGACGUUACCCGCAGAACAAGCACCGGCUAACUCCGUGCCAGCAGCCGCGGUAAUACGGAGGGUGCGAGCGUUAAUCGGAAUUACUGGGCGUAAAGCGUGCGUAGGCGGGCGGCUAAGCCCCGCGUGAAAGCCCCGGGCUCAACCUGGGAACGGCGCGGGGGACUGGCGGCCUGGAGUGCGGUAGAGGGCGGUGGAAUUCCCGGUGUAGCAGUGAAAUGCGUAGAGAUCGGGGGGAACACCAGUGGCGAAGGCGGCCGCCUGGGCCUGCACUGACGCUGAGGCACGAAAGCGUGGGGAGCAAACA
rnacentral:rRNA from 1 species